UAGGGAAUAUUGGUCAAUGGAUGGAAGUCUGAACCAGCCAUGCCGCGUGCAGGAAGAAGGCCUUCUGGGUCGUAAACUGCUUUUGCCGGGGGAUAAAAAUUCCAUGCGUGGAAAAUUGAAGGUACCCGGUGAAUAAGCCACGGCUAACUACGUGCCAGCAGCCGCGGUAAUACGUAGGUGGCAAGCGUUGUCCGGAUUUAUUGGGUUUAAAGGGUGCGUAGGCGGCCCUGUAAGUCAGUGCUGAAAUAUCCCGGCUUAACCGGGAGGGUGGCAUUGAUACUGCAGGGCUUGAGUAAAGUUGAGGUUGGCGGAAUUGACGGUGUAGCGGUGAAAUGCUUAGAUAUCGUCAAGAACACCGAUAGUGAAGACAGCUAACUAAGCUUUAACUGACGCUGAGGCACGAAAGUGUGGGGAUCAAACAG
rnacentral:rRNA from 1 species